rnacentral:tRNA from 1 species
UCUGGGUUGUAGCUUAGUCGGUAAGAGCGCCUGUAUCUUUACAGGAGGUCACAGGUUCGAGCCCUGUCUCCCAGAC